UCCCUGGUGGUCUAGUGGCUAGGAUUCAGUGCUUUCACUGCUGUGGCCUGGGUUCAAUCCCUGGUCUGGGAA
rnacentral:tRNA from 1 species